GCGGUCGUAGCUCAGCUGGUUAGAGCGCUCCCCUGUCACGGGAGAGGUCGCCGGUUCAAAUCCGGUCGACCGCG
rnacentral:tRNA from 1 species